rnacentral:lncRNA from 1 species
GGUUUUCUACGAUACUCCUAAGCGAAGGAUCACCAUAAUCAUGAUAUUCUUCAUGAACGGCGUCGUGGAUUCGGCGUGAACAAAGGCGGUUCGUGGAUUCGGAUCGUUGGCUCGUGGAUUCGAGUGGCGUCGUGGAUUCGGCGUGAUUGAAGCUUCGUGGAUUCGAUGUGGAGGCGUUCGUGGAUUCGAACGUGAGGGCAUGGACAACCCGGAGGGUAGCGCGAAGAUUCAUAGGAGGUUAAGAGAGGUAGAGUCCGUGGAGUCGGUAAUCACCUUGUAAUCUUUUCUCUUAGUGAAUUAUUUUUUCGCGUGUUGGUCCCGUGGGUUUUUCUCCAAGUUGGAGUUUUCCCACGUAAAUCUCGGUGUGCUUUUUAUUUUUCGCAUUUAUUUUUAUUGCAUCGAGAUUUGUGGUUUUUGGCCUAUCACCUAUUCACCCCCCUCUAGGUGAUAGAUACAAUCUAGAUAGAUCCUUAGGUUCCUCAAAACUUACAAUUGGUAUCAGAGCAGGAUCUAGAUAAAUUGUUAUCUAAUGGCCGAAGGUGGUAACAUUAAUCGGCCUCCGCUCUUCGACGGCACGAAUUAUGCCAAUUGGAAAGUUCGCAUGAGAGCUUUUCUAAUUGCUAUCGAUGAGCGAGUUUGGCAAUCUAUUGAAUUUGGGUGGAAACAUCCGAUAGAAAAGGUCGAUAAUGUUGAAAAGCCAAAACCACGGAACAAGUGGACAAAAGAAGAAAACGAGACAUCUUCGUUUAACGGCAAGGGCAUAAACGCUUUAUUUAAUGCAUUGUCACAAACGGAGUUUACUCGCGUUUCGGCGUGUGAGACCGCCAAGGAAAUUUGGGACACUCUACAAAUUACACAUGAAGGUACUAGUUUAGUAAAAAUUCAAAAGCUUCAAAUGUUGACUAGUCAAUUUGAUUCUAUUCGUAUGGAGGAGCAUGAAUCUUUUACCGAUUACUACACUAGGCUUCAAGAUAUUAUUAAUACAUGUGCUAAUUUGGGAGAGAAGAUCCCGGAUGCUAAAGUUGUUCGUAAAAUUCUUCGAACUCUUCCGGAAUGUUUUCGGACUAAAGUAGCAGCGAUCGAAACGGUCAAACAUCCGGACGAGAUGAAAGUCGAGGAAUUAGUAGGUGCUUUACAAACGUAUGAAAUGACUUUUCCUACUAAUCAAUCUUCUUCCAAGUCUUCUUCUAAAAGGACAGGUGUUGCAUUGAAAUCUACAAAGGAGAAGGACGAAGACUCGAGUUCCGACGAUGACUUAUCAAUUGCUGACUUUGAACAACAAUUGGCGCUUCUAACGAAGAAGUUUCGUCGAAAUUUCCGGAACAAGAAUAGAUUGGACAAGGCUUCAUCGUCCAAGCGACAAUCUUUGUCUAAGUCAUCUUCAUCUUCAAAGUCUAAGGAUAAAAACCGUGCAAAGUCUUCAAAGGAAAAGGAUGUAUUUGAAGGCGAGAUCCAAUGCUUCAAGUGCAAAGGCUACGGCCACAUUGCGACGGAUUGUCCUUCAAAGAAGAUGUAUAGACAAAAGGCUAUGCAAGCAAAGACGUGGGAUGAUUCAACAUCAAGUGAAUCAUCGUCAAGUGACGAAGAAAAGAAUGAUCAAAUUGCUCUAUUUGCUAAUACUCCCUCGUCGAAUGUUGUGUGUUUAUCCUCUAUGGCUACUAACUCCAAUAUUUUUCUUUCUUCACAUGAUUCAUCGAGUAAGAAUGGUGAAAGUGAGGAGGAAUCAAACGACGACGACAUAGCGGAAGCGUACAAUCAACUUCUCAUUGAAUCAAAGAAGAUGGCUAAACUCAACAAGAAGUUGAGACGUCGUUUGUUGGAACUUCAGGAGGAAAACAACAACGUAAAGAAUUUGAAUAAGGUUCUUGAGGAGGAAAGGGAUUCAAGUUUGAAGAUUAAUUCGGACCGCCAAGAGAAGCUUAGUGAUGCGGAAUCGACGAUCAAAUCCUCUAAUGACAAGAUUGGAUUUUUGGAGCAUCAAUUUCAUGAAUCGCACAAGUCCAAUCAAGUCUUGAUCAACCAAGUUCGUCAACUCCAAUCCGAUCUUCAACGAUUUUCUUCGGGAUCAAAGAAGUUGGACAAAAUGCUUGGAUUGGGUCAAACGAGCAAAUUGGGCCUUGGAUAUGAACGAACAUACGUUGAGAAGGAUUCAAAAUCAACUUCUAAAGUCUCAACAACUUCGAAAGAGAAAGUGUGUCAUAAAUGUGGCAUCGAAGGACACAUCAAAAGAAAUUGCCCAAACAAAAAUGGCAAGUCACAAUCGGCAAAUUCAAAACAUCCAUCGGCGUCAUCUACUAUUCGACAUCACCCACGGAAUCAAAAGCAAAAUAAUUUAAGUCGAGUGCCUCAAAAGAAUCGGACUUCUAAGCCUAAACGUCAAGUUCUACCUAAGCCUCAAGCAAAGAAAACACCAACGAUUGAUCAAAAAUCUAAGCAAACGGCACCAAACGUCGACAAGCCGAGAAAACCAAAGAUCCGACAAGUUUGGAUCCGGAAAGGUGAUAUCUUUCCUUGCUCCUCGUCUUAGUCAUUUUUUAUCUUUAGUGUAAUGCUUUGAUUGGUGCUUGUUGUUUAUUUUUAUUCAUUGUAUUACAUGGUUGAAUGAUUUUGAUCGUUUUUGAUGAAAUUUUUUGCUAUCGAUCACUGCUUAAGGACAUUAUUUUGCUUCUAGAACACUUGAAUCACAUCAAAACACGUUAUUUUUCGCUGAUCCAUGUUCUAAGCUUCGAUUUUCAUGUAAUUUCGGGAUUUCUUUUUAAAAUGUCAUUUUUUUUAAAAUUGUUGAAUGAUCUUGUUAGAAAUAGCAUUUGGAUGUAUUCUAAUGUUAUUAGAAAUUUUUGUUGCUAUUUUUACAGAUUUUUCAAAAUUUUCUUCAUGAAUGGCUUAUUUUCAUGUAGGAAAAUGGCAUUUUCGUUCGUAAUUUUGCUUUUGGUGCUUAUGGCCGCCGGUCGUGGUCGGGGUGGUGGUCGAGGACGACGUGGUCAGUCAAAGAGAACUCGUACUACCGACGAGUUAUCUGGAUCAAAUCCUGAUUAUCAGGUCAGCUCACCUGAAGCUGCUGAAGAAGCUGCUACUCGAGCUGCUAAAGGAAAAGGCCUCGUAGGCGAAUCCUCACGAGGAGGUGAUUCUCGUGCACGUGAAAGGCGCUCCAAACGUGCUGCAGAGGCUUCAUUAGAGCGACAGCAGAUUUAUUCGAGCCGAUCAGUUCUAGCUGAGCGCUAUGUCAACUUCACUGAGCUAGUCAAGGAGGUACCAGAUUUUGGCCAAUUGCUGCAGAGGGUUCCCAUUGAGCCUGCUGGACGGGUUCAAGCUCGUGCCCCAUUUUGUGUGGAACUAAUUCGAGAAUUCUAUAUAAACGGGGUAGUACUUGGAGAGGAUGAGGAGACUGGGACCUAUGUGUUUGAGUCUUAUGUGCGUAAAAAGAAGAUUCACGUCACUCCUUAUACUAUUGGAGAGCUCUUAGGUAUGAAUGUUGAUACUACCGGUCUUCAGUAUACGACAGGGCUAUAUCAGUCUUCAACCCACUGGGAGACUGUUAUUCAUGCUAUAUGCAAGGUAGGUGUUAGGACUAAUCAUUCAUAUGUGGAAUCUAAGGAUUUGCUACCUGAAUAUCAUCUGCUCUCAUUGGUGAUGAGCUACAACGUUCAACCGACAAUUGGAACAAAAAGAAUUCGGUGGGAUCGUCUUGUGCUUCUGUAUCUUCUUGGACAUCCUGAAGAAGCAAGAGGAUUGAACAUCAAUAUUCCUUUUCUUAUGUGGCAACGAAUGGUUCAUGUCAUACAGUCUCAGGUUCGCCGUGAUCUUCUUCCGUUUUCGUUAUUGAUCACGAGGAUUCUUCAGGAAAAUGGUGUUGACGUGUCAUGUGAGAAGUAUGAUUUUGGACUUGGACCUAUUGAUGCUGUAACUUGGGCAAAGUCAAGGAGCACCUUGAAGACGUUUCAGCAAACCAAAGGGUCCUCCAGAGGAGCUACUAGUUCAACACCUCCACCUAGAGCAGCACGUGAGGGAUCUUCUAGUUCAGGGGGAGUGAUUACUGUCGAAUCACUUCAUCAUGAGGUGCGCUCUAUGAAGAAGAAACUGGCCGAUCUUGCGAGAAAGGUGGAGAUGGGGAUGAAGAGAAUGAUGGAGAAAAUGGGAUGUAGGCAUGAUGAUAUCUUUCCUACUGAGCCUACCUACACUACUUAUACCAGAUCGACUUCACGACAUCCACUCAUUCCACCGUCUGGUGAUGCUCCUGAGGCUGGGGGAUCUGGAGCUGGAGCAGGAGAUGAUGAUGAUGAUGAUGACGAGGACACGGAGUGAUGUCUUCCUCGGGCUUCGUCUUGUUACUUUAUUAUGCUUACUUUCUAGGACGAUGUUUUAGACUUGCUUGCUUAUCUUUCUUUGGCAUGUUUUAUUUUAGGCCUGUACCUAUGACUAGACUUCCUUUGUGCUUUCUAGUAUGUUUUCUCUCUCUAUUUGCUUUCUUUUGGCAAUUUUUGACAAAAAGGGGGAGAAUGUAGAACAGGGGGAGAGCGUGGUUGACAACAGGCAAAUGAACUAAGCAGAGGAUGAUGAGUAGAUGUGAUCGAGAUGUGAAGAACAAAGGGGGAGAAGGUAUAAGAAUUUAAGGGUAAUCAUUAAAUCAUUUUUGAAUGAAUUGUUUUGCAGGAAAUCAAGACUUCAAGACUCCUAGUUGUGUCUAAGUCAUAGAGUCUGUUUUAGGAGUUUUUGAUGUAAGUUUGAGUUUCAAAUUGUAUUUGGAUUACACGCGAGGAGUUCAAUGUUUUGGUGAUGACGAUUGAACUUCAUUUUUCUGUAAAUUGUAAUUUUUAAGUUUGUGUGAGUUUUGUCACGAAAUUGCCAAAGGGGGAGAUUGUUAAGUCGUGUGUGUUGGUAAGUUUCGUGAAGUGAGUCGGAGUCUUGAAGAAUCGGUGCGUGUUGUCGAAGAUCGAAGAAUUCAAGAUUUCGAAGAAGUUGGAAAAUAACUCACACCGUGAAUCACGAUGUCCAGGUAAAGUGUUAAUUCAUGAUUAUGGUGAUUCAUACUUAGUUGUAGACAUUAGAAUCAUAAUAUCAUUGUCUAACGGAUUAGAAAGUGCAUUGGAACUUUGCAAAAUCCGAAACGGCGAAAAUUUGCAAAGUGUACUGGUACAGCAUCAGAAGUGUACCGGUACAAAUUGUGUACCGGUACGACCAUCAAGGGUGUAACCGGUUUCACUGUUUCGUCUGGUUUUUCGUUCCGUCAUCGUGUAACCGGUGACAGCCUAAAGUGUACCGGUACACAGUGUAAAAUCGUGAAAACUUUCUAAUCCGACUCCAAUUGAUUCUAAAGUCUAUAAAUAAGCUAUUGGGCUUCUCUAACACAUCAAGCAUCAUAAGAGUACAUAUUUGAGAAACCCUAGAGGCUCGAAUUUCAUCAGAAACCUAUUUUCUACAAAAAACCUCUUUUAGAUCAAAUCGAGAUAUUGAAAUUUGAUAUUAAUAUGUCGAUUUGAUCUCCGCUUCGCUUGGAGUUCUAUUCCCUGGUUUUCUACGAUACUCCUAAGCGAAGGAUCACGAUAAUCAUGAUAUUCUUCAUGAACGGCGUCGUGGAUUCGGCGUGAACAAAGGCGGUUCGUGUAUUCGGAUCGUUGGCUCGUGGAUUCGAGUGGCGUCGUGGAUUCGGCGUGAUUGAAGCUUCGUGGAUUCGAAGUGGAGGCGUUCGUGGAUUCGAACGUGAGGGCGUGGACAACCCGGAGGGUAGCGCGAAGAUUCAUAGGAGGUUAAGAGAGGUAGAGUCCGUGGAGUCGGUAAUCA